GAUAUUGUUGAAGAUCCCUAAAAUUGAAAUAACUAGGACCAUCAUAAAAAUUACCAUGGCCCUCUUCUCUCUCUUUUUCAAUUUCUUCUCUUUUCUCUUCUCCCUCUCCCUCUUCCCCGGUCUCCUCUUUCUCCUUUAACAGAGAAACAAGAUGAUGAGGUCGAAGAGAGUUUAACAUCGGAAAGAGAGCACCUUGCCAGAAAGAGUAACAAGAAUCGACUAAUUUGUUUGUUCUUCCUU
rnacentral:ribozyme from 13 species